rnacentral:rRNA from 4 species
AAAUUGAAGAGUUUGAUCAUGGCUCAGAUUGAACGCUGGCGGCAGGCCUAACACAUGCAAGUCGAACGGUAGCACAGAGAGCUUGCUCUCGGGUGACGAGUGGCGGACGGGUGAGUAAUGUCUGGGAAACUGCCUGAUGGAGGGGGAUAACUACUGGA